AAUUAUAAAUCAUUAUCCAGUAACACAGAUAAUGUUAAUAGUAUUUACCGUAUAUAAAAUAGACCAAAGUAAUCUCAAAGAUAUUUCCCGUUUGACACACUAACUUUUAGACUCUCCAUAUACGCUUUUAUAUUUUUAUACUUGUGCUCAAUGUACUAUCAUCCCCCUAACGUACUAUUUCUAUGAAGAUCAUUCACAUUCCGUCACCAAAACUUAUUACAGAAGAGUCCUUAAUACUCUACUAAAAGAUUAUAACUAAUUAAAUAUCACAGAUGGUGUUGUUUUCAAAUAUUAACCAAUUUCACUGAAAAUUCUAUGAUUUUCACCGAAUUCAAAGGAAAUGUUAAAGUCUGUACCGGCACCUUCAGUAGAAGAAUACUUUUCUUUGUGCUAAAGAACACAGGAAUAUAAUCUGCAAUAAGCCGUCAUCUUGAAAAUUAUGAAUGCAAAUAGAAAAAAUGGCAGUUGUAUAUUUAGACCGUGCUACUUCAGCUCAAAUGUAAAACAAACACAACAGAGGGAUCACAAGAAACAGAUCUAUUUGCAAACUUUGUCUCAUCUUAGAAUAACAAGAGUUACACUCAAACAUACAUUGCAAUUGUAUCAAAGCUCAGGAGGAAUAGUUUAAAAAUAUUAAGAUGGAAGUGACUGACAUGAUGAAAAGAAAACUUAAAAAUAAAAAUAGAAAAAAAAAUUAUCAUCCUAAAUGAAUAUAACAAAAAAAGUCUUGCAAGGUCAAGAAAAAAAUAAAUAAAAAAAAAAGAUUAAAAAAAAAAGCUCAAUCAGGAUAUCGCCAUUAAAAUCCUAUCUCACGCUUCGUUCGCCAUGUGCUGGAGCUGUAGAGAACGCCAAGGAAUCUGGUUGCAUGCGCUCCAGUGAGACAGUGGUAGGAGAUGCUUGAUGCCAUUUGGGAGAUAUUCCUGAGUAGUUAGGCGCAAGAGCAUAUUGAGAUAGAAGUGACAAGUUUGUAGAAAGGUUAUGUUAGGACAAGGUGAUGUUCAUAGGGUAGGUGUGAUAUGAUAUAAAUGGGCAAGUGGUGGUGCAUGGUGAGAAGAUUGAUGGAGUUUAUAUAGUGAAAAGAGAAGGAGAAAUAAAUGAAAAUAAGGGACUACUGACAUUCCAAAAAUGUUGUUGUUUCAGUGAAGUUUGAAGAAAAAGGAAGAGGUUAGUGGACCCAAAAACUGUGGAUUAAUGGAUUCAAAAAACCCUUUUUCCAUGUUGUAGCUCUGUCUCUCUGAUCCCUCCAGCGAGAAGUCUUGA
rnacentral:lncRNA from 1 species